rnacentral:rRNA from 1 species
AUUGAACGCUGGCGGAAUGCUUUACACAUGCAAGUCGAACGGUAGAGGGGGCAACCCCUUGAGAGUGGCGAACGGGUGAGUAAUAUAUCGGAACGUGCCCAGUCGUGGGGAUAACGUAGCGAAAGUUACGCUAAUACCGCAUACGAUCCACGGAUGAAAGCGGGGGACUCGCAAGAGCCUCGCGCGAUUGGAGCGGCCGAUAUCAGAUUAGGUAGUUGGUGGGGUAAAGGCUCACCAAGCCAACGAUCUGUAGCUGGUCUGAGAGGACGACCAGCCACACUGGAACUGAGACACGGUCCAGACUCCUACGGGAGGCAGCAGUGGGGAAUUUUGGACAAUGGACGCAAGUCUGAUCCAGCCAUUCCGCGUGCAGGAUGAAGGCCCUCGGGUUGUAAACUGCUUUUGUACGGAACGAAAAGGUUUCUCUUAAUACGAGGAGCUCAUGACGGUACCGUAAGAAUAAGCACCGGCUAACUACGUGCCAGCAGCCGCGGUAAAGUGACU